GUCUCGGUAGCGUAAAGAAUAGAGCGGGUGCCCGGAAAGCACAAGCACGGGUUCAAAUCCCGCCCGAGACU
rnacentral:tRNA from 1 species